GACUGCACUCUAUAUAUAUAUUUUAAAAAUGCAAUGGGCCAUAAAAAUAGGUUUUUGUUGGUGUUGUUUAUUAUAAUCAAGAUGUGCCAGUUUUGCCAUCAGCCUAUGUGGCAUUGUCACCAAAGCAACCUGUAUAACAGAUCUAGCCUACUUACAGGUACACCUGCCUGCCUGCAGGUAACUGUUCUGUCCACGCCAAUGAUUGGGUGCCUCGCAGCAGCGGGCGGGGACACAUAUAGGUACAGCGUUUCAACCAACACAGAAUCUGAAGAAGGCCAUUGAACGCCAAAACGUCAAUCUUUUAAACUUGUCUAAUCAAACUAAGAAUGUUUUAUGGUGAGCGAACGUUACGUUUUUUCCUGUCCAAUGACACAUUUUUAGGUUGCACCUCUACUCACGUUGGUUGAGUACGCUAUACUUCUUUCCAACCAACACAGAUCAGAAAUAUGUUAAAUAAAAUAUAAAAGCAAUUCCAAAAUAACUUCUCUCAACUAUUCGAGAGAAACACCGGAGUGCAAGAAACAACAGCACUACUACAACAGAAAAGGAUAACAUCAAGAAGAGAAAGACAGAAUGGGAGCUAUCAAGUGGAUGGUGAUUUUUGCCUUGCUAGGCAUAGGCUCUCAGUUCAACUUCAUCAGUGUUGAUAUUCAGGGUUACAUCUAAGAGCAUGACAGUGUGAUGGAGCAGAUACUUAGGAACCAGUUCCUACAAGAUUACAGCAACCCCCAAGAACUCCCUGGACGCCUUUACCCAGUUCGGUGCCAACUCUGUGAUGGGCUCCAUCAACUCUCUGACCAUGUACAUCACUAAGGCUGAGGCCAUGGAUAACGGCCUGACUGUUCUGAGCCAGGCUGAGGUUGAAGAGA